UGCAUAGCAGAGCUGGCCCCUGCCAGAUGUCCCUGUUCCUCUCAGCAGAGUAGCACUUCAGGCUGCACUCCACGUCCUUCUCUGGCAACAAGGCUCAGGGCCUUUGGCAGCCUUAAAAUCUCGGUGGCGCACAGGAGGACAGACCGACUCAGCCAGGGCAUGAGAACAGGCUUCCUGGAGCAGGGACAUCUCCAUGGAGACCUGAAGAAUAAGAAGGUAGCCUGCAAGGGGGAUUGUGGUAUUCGAGGAGAGGCAUUCAAGGUCAGGAAACAGCAGGUGCAAAGGUUUGAAGGUUGGGGAUUCUGGAAAUCACAGGUAGGUGAAGGGUGACUGCCUGAGCAUCAUGCAGUCACCUUGGCCAUCCCCUAGCUCAGCAUAGGACAUUCCUAACAUGUCACCCUCUGAAACUCACACUGUUUCCCUCCUGGGAGGUGACUCCUGGGAUGCAACCACCAUCUUUCCCAUUGCAGCCAAAGCCCUUUUCAAAGGCUCUGAAGAUGCGCCGUUAGGCAUAGGAGGUGUGGGAGAGGAACUGGAGCAGCAUAAGGGAGGGGGCCAGUGACCUUAACCUCUGCAGAACAGGAGGAUGGACUGAAGCUAAACCCAAGGCAGAACUUUGUCCUUGGGCAGGUAUGGCAUCUGCAUGGUGUGUGAUGUCUUGUCUUCCCUAGGUGCUGGCCGAGGUAGGAGAAUGAGUGAAGGGACUCAGAAGAGGGGCUGCUGUGUGUGUGUGUGUGUGUGUGCGUGUGUGCAUGUGUGAAUGUGUGGGUGUGUGCAUGUCUGCAUAUGUGUGCAUGAGUGUGUGUUUGUGUUUGAGUCUUGAAUUCAAGUAAGGGCUGUGGUGUGUGUCUAGGGAAUCCAGUGUGUUUGAGUCUGACUGUGCAUAUGAGCAGGGGGUGGGCUCUGGGUUGAUGACUGGAGGUCACUCUGGGUGGGAUGUGUCUGUCUGGGUCUUGAUCUGUCCCUGUGUUUUGGCGUUUGUGUCUAUGGGGAAUGUGUAUGUGUGAGGAGAUGACUGUUUCUCAGUGUGGAUCUGAAUGUUCAACUGUGGCUUUGACUAGCACUGGCCUCCCAGCGUGUUUCCCUGUGAGUGUGGGAAUGUGAGUGUGGCCAUGCCUUUGUGUGUAAGGUUCUGUGAGUGUGCAUAUGUGGAACUUGGUACAUCUGUUCCCACGGCAAUGACUCAUCUUAUCCCCCCACAUUCUCCCCCCUACCUGGAGCUGUGAUUGUUUGCUAUGUAGGGGCUGCAGAGGGGGCUGCAGCAUGUAGGGGGAUGGGAGGCAGAUCGUGUGGGGACACUCCAAUAACAGUUGCGGCAAACAAGGUUCAGCCCGCAGUGUGGAAGGUACAGAUCCAUGUUUGUCUGUGUGGGCGGUAGGCACUGGCCAAGCCCAGCACAGCCCAGGCUUAGAACCUAGCCCAGAGUGCAGAUCUCCAUAUUACAGGGCCUCCCAGAUACCAUGGGUUGGAGUGGGCAAGGGGCUCGCCAGGCUCCCCCAUGUCAUGAUACAGGGUGGUGCAUGUCUGUGUAGGGAGGAAAUCAUGGCUGAGAAUUCCCCCCAGUAUACAAUGUCACAGAGUCAGUCCCAUCUCCACUUAAGAGGGAUCUCAAUUGCCAACCUUCCCCCACCCUUUAUCCGUUGGUGCCCCAAAGAUGGCUGCUCCCCAGGUCAAGGGAUAUCCUAAGAGAUUCCUGCCAUCACAAGCAACAGAUCUCCCUGUCUCCCCUAUCAGACGCUGGCCAGGGAUUUUCAAGCCAGCAGCAGGAGCCAGGGCGCUGGCCUGGAGGCACUAGGCCUCGCAGCCCCUCUGGUCCUGAAUCUGGCCUAUUUAGCCACAGCCUAAGGGUGGGAGAGGCCAGUUAUUUGGCCUAGAUGGGCAUGAGAGAGAGUGGGUGUAUGCUCAGAGAAAAUCCUGGGGGCGGGGCGGUGGGAACCAGUAGUGUUCUAGAAGACCUACAAGAAGCUGCAGGAUUUUGGUCCUCGGGCACAACAGCACUGGCUCUGGGAACCCUGGCCAAAUGCCCAUGUCCAAGGGAGGGCCCUAGGGACCUCAGGUCCUCCAUGUCCAGGCUGGGCUCCCAGCCCUUGUGCCUCCUCUGCCCAGGGAGGGCUGGCCUCAGGGCUUUGCUGUGCUUGAGCUGUCUGUCAACAGGGGCCCCCACGACCUCUUUCCCGAAACCAGCCAGCCCCAGCCUUGUUGAUCUAAUCCUGAGCCUCUGAGCCACAGGUCCCUGUCAUAUCCAUCUUCAAGUGUC
rnacentral:lncRNA from 10 species